rnacentral:lncRNA from 1 species
AAGAUAUACUGAGUGCCAAUGAAAACGCAACACUUGGUUUUUCAAAAAUAAAAUUUAUAUUAGAAAUGAUAAUCUUUCAAAAUAAAUUGUUCUUGAAAAUUAACAAUUUUAACAAUAGAUCGAUAUCAACCAAAAAUGUUUCCUUGUCAUCUUUCAGGCGCAAUAGGUAAACGAAACAUCCAAUGUCGAAUCAUCAACCCACAGUAUAACAAAAAAUGUUCCAACCCCGUGGUGCAGCGCAAUCUCGACAACGCCGUGGAAUUGAUCAUCCUGGACGUUUAAUGUAAUCCCGAAGAAUGUUUCUCCACUUGUCCCGCAAAGAAAACUCAAGCUGACUUUAUGAUAUUGGUGGUGGUUUUCAUCGUCUAAACCAUGUCAAAUCUGAUGCAAAAUUUGCUCGAUCGGACUAAAAUCCGACGAAAAACAUGACUUUUGGCCAAGGCGGGUGAUUAAUGUCUAUGUAACCACCACUGACGGUUAUUUGGUACAUAAUGAAUGAUUUUUGGUCUACAGAACUCAAUGUUUACGCCAGACGGCCGUUUAGAUAACACUAAGGAAAGACUGUGGUGCUCUUUAACAAUUUCUGCGCAAAUGGUGCUUUACUGAAACUGCUCCAAAGGUUCUACCGUGACCACCAUUGAACUCUCGUGACCUUUGGACAGCCAUCAGAGUCGAUAUCGGAUAUGUUAAAGACCAAGUGUAUCGGUCUUGCUGAGCGUUUCUUUGCGUUUUGUACCCCGGGAUGUGGCUUAUCAUUAAAUGAUCCAUUUUGGUUGAAUUUGUGGAUGAUUGGUGUUAUUGUACACGCUACAACUUCAGUCUUCUCGUAAUUGUAUGCUGUGAAAGUCUUCAUUGGAUCAUGUUCAAAACUGCAUGUCGCUGGUUGUCAGAAAAUCCUGGUAUUUACUCAGAUGUUUAUUGCAGUUUCUUAACAAUAAGUGCGGGAAAAUUCAUGACAUUAGCCAAGCUUUAAAUGACAAAAUCGUGAAAAUGGUGCGUAUGUUGAAAAGCGGUG